GUAACAAGGUUUCCGUAGGUGAACCUGCGGAAGGAUCAUUGUUGAU
rnacentral:rRNA from 1 species